CAGCCGCCGCGGUAAUACGUAGGGUGCAAGCGUUGUCCGGAAUUAUUGGGCGUAAAGAGCUCGUAGGCGGUUUGUCGCGUCUGCUGUGAAAUCCCGAGGCUCAACCUCGGGCUUGCAGUGGGUACGGGCAGACUAGAGUGCGGUAGGGGAGAUUGGAAUUCCUGGUGUAGCGGUGGAAUGCGCAGAUAUCAGGAGGAACACCGAUGGCGAAGGCAGAUCUCUGGGCCGUAACUGACGCUGAGGAGCGAAAGCGUGGGGAGCGAACAGGAUUAGAUACCCCAGUAGUCCCUGUCUCUUAUAC
rnacentral:rRNA from 1 species